rnacentral:lncRNA from 1 species
GACAGUGAGGCAGCAAAUGACAGACUAAUCCACUUUCUGAAGCUUGGAUUACCCCAGGAAAACAUCAGUAACAUUUUAGGUGUCACUCACACAACUAUUGUUCGUCGGAUGAGAGAAUGUGUUUGGCCAGAGAGAGAAUCCAAUAAUUAACCCUGAGAUGGAGUAGUAUUCAGACUCAAUGGCAGUUGAACAAGAUGGUGGAGAUGCUGACCAUGUUCACUUUGCAGUCAAAUUGCCUCUGGUAUCAUCAGGGUCCUGCUGCAGGUAGAAGCCUUGAAGUUUCUUCCAUUCCAAACAUUUACCUGGAGAUUCUUGGAUGGGACUUCCCAUCCAGUCCAAAAUUAUGUAAGCUUUUGUAGCUGGUCUGUAGUAACUGUGUGGAA